UGCGCAGUAGCCAAGCGGUAAGGCACAGGUCUUUGAAACCUGCAUCCCGAGGGUUCGAAUCCCGCCUGCGCAACCA
rnacentral:tRNA from 1 species